GAUUCGGAGGGCACUUCGUCGGUUGCCCGGUUUGAUAGGCAUGCCCCAGCAACGCUCCGGCUUAUACUUUUUAUUACCGUUUGUUGCCUGCGCCUACGCAUCUCGACCAGUAUUCACCCGACUCAUUCUCCUGACAUCAGUUUCAUGCUUGUUUAACUGGUCUGAUCGCAGCAAAACACAAGGAUUCAACGGCUCUACGGCUCAACCAUUUCGCAGGUACAUCUGAAGAUGCGUAUAUAUAAAAAAAUACCGCCUGCUCCUGCCUCCUCCCUGGAUCUGGGACACCCGGCUCUGUACCCCCCAGUUCAACGACGGAACUAACGGUGACUUCAAUGGGAGAAGCAAUGGCACAAGAAUCCACAUCUGACCACUGUAGGGGCAGGCUUUGAUUACCUCAAGUGCCACUGGCACUACAUUUUUCUUUUUUUUUUUUACUCAGAAGUAAUGCUCUAUCAUCC